UCCGCUUCUGGGCCUUUUGGCUAAGAUCAAGUGUAGUAUCUGUUCUUAUCAGUUUAAGCCACUCAGCCUGUGGUAUUUGUCAUACCAUCUCCAACUGAGGAAGACAACAAAGUACAGUGUUACUUCUUCAGUCAGAUUCUCAAUUUGUAAGAGAUAAAUCUGUAAAUCAGGAUAUUAUCUACCCCAA